UUUCUCUAUAUUUUCAGGCUAACUCCCAUGCUCCUUUCCUCCAUUCUCCACGCUUCCGUCUUUUCCUUUCUUCUCUUCAUUUCUUGAUCUUGACAUUUCUUUCUCUUUGACUUUUCCUUUUUCAUUUUCUCUCUCUGCGGUCAACCAAAACCCUCGGUGAAAAUUCAUUUGAAACUACCUUUUUCGCUUCUUUUUGUGAAAAUCGUGCUGCAACUUCAUUUUUUGCUUCUCUAAUGGGUAAUUUCUCUGUCUAAAUGAGUAAUUUCACUUUCAUUAUAACAGAGGGUAUGGACUCCAUCUAAUUUCUUGGCAUUAAUGCCGUGUCAUGAUGAUAUUGCAGUUCCUUGAUUUAGCAAAUAUGGUUCAAGUGUCCGGCCUUGAAAGCUUCUGUCCCAUGAUGGUUGUGACAACGUAUUUCUUCUUUGGUUCUGUAGCAUACAUCCUUGUUUUUAUUGAUCUGUAAUGGAAAUGGAAAGUGUAAUGGAGUUGACAAUGGAUCAAACACCCAGGAAGAGAUCAGGUUUGGUUUGGGAUGUUUUGCCUCUAGAACCUCCCAAGAUAUUUUCAAAUAUGAUGUUUUGUUGCCCCUCGGGGCACAUCCCAAUUGGCAAAGGACGGAACUCUUCAAGUCGGGCAGUUCACAGGUCGCGGGUUCAAUUCAUGAGGCUCUUGGAAGGCAAGGCUUUCUCCUAGAAGGCAGGAGUUCCUUGGAAGGCAAGGUGCAUACAUGGAUUUGACUCGUUCGGCACUUUGGCAGUUCAGUUGGGGGGCUCUUAGACCCUGGCCAGUUUGGGGCACAACCCGCGGUUUACCUGGUCUGCGUGAAGAGGGGCUGGAUCGCAGACCCCAGGAUUAAUCGCUGUAAGGUGGACACCUGGGAAUCAAAAAAAGUGAUGUUUUGUUUAAAAAAAUCAUUUUUUUCGGGUUUUUGUCGAUUUGGUGAAAAAAUUGAACUUUUCUAGUUUGAAAUAAUUUCUUAUUCUAGUGUAUUUAAUUCGUAUUUUAAAGGGUUUAAAGGAUUUUUUGAAUUUGAUGAA